GCCUUUAUAUGGAACCAUCUAUCC
rnacentral:miRNA from 8 species